UCCCUCUGUCAGAGAAGAAGAUUAAUGGUCCU
rnacentral:piRNA from 1 species